rnacentral:lncRNA from 1 species
AACAGUUUUGUCUAAUAUUUUACUUUUACGCCUUAACUCUCAUAUACAAGUAAUUAUUUAGAGGGAGGGGGAAUGUGAAUUGUGUCAUAGUAAAAGGAAUAUGUAUGUAAGUAAGCUGGAAUUUUUCUCCAUGUAGACAUGAUAUUUCCCUUCACUCUGCCCUUUUCUUCCAGAUAACUACAAACAACAUGUAAUGCUAUUAUGGACAUGCCCCUUUAAAAAGUUAUUAUUUGUUGAACUUAUAUAGCACCAAUAUAUUCCACAGCACUUUACAAUUAUUGAAAGGGGAUAUCUAAAAGAUGAAGAAGGUCCUGCUCAAACAAGGUUACUAUAUAUGACAUAUGGAGGUAGGCAGAUAUAGAGGUCUGUCCGUAAAAAGUCCAGCUGUUGUUAAUAUACUGAGAAUGGUUUGUGCAAAAUUAAUGUAACCUGGAAGCCAAGGAGAGUGGAUUGGAAUGUGCAUGAGUGAACAAUGACGUCUUCAUUGUACUAGUCAAAAGGGGCGUUAGAUGCCAUUGAGUGAGCUUUGUGUCACCGAUUGGCCGUCACAUUCAAAAUGACUGAGUAAGUAGAACAAUGAAUCUGCAUCAAAUUUUGCAUUAAGUUUGAACAUUCCUCUGUGGAAACUAUUUGGAUUACUUAAAAGACUUUGGGGGACGAUGCAAAAAAGUGUAGUGCAAAUAAAAGUGUGGCACAAAUGCUUUGAAGAUGGUCGAGAAUCUGUGGAAAGAUUUGGCGCUCAGCGACUUCUGGCUUUUCCAAAAAAUAAAAUUUCCUUAGGAUGGGAAGAGAUUUCAGGCCAUCGAUGAGAUUCAGGUAAAUAUAACAAAGCAGCUGAUGUCAAUUACAUCAAAGGAUUUUGCAAAGUGUUUUGAACAGUGGAAGAGACACUGGGAGAGUUGUGUGAGGUCCCAAGGUGCCUACUUGAAAGAAGACUGAGGCCAUUGUCAUAUGUACAAUGUUUCUUGUAACAUGUAUCUUUUUCAAUAAAUGUUUAUAUUUUUCACAUUA